rnacentral:rRNA from 1 species
AUGCACGCUGGCGGCGUGCCUAAUCCCUGCCAGUCGCGCGAACAGACGAGGAGCUUGCUCCUCUGACGUUAGCGGCGGACGGGUGAGUAACACGUGGAUAACCUACCUAUAAGACUGGGAUAACUUCGGGAAACCGGAGCUAAUACCGGAUAAUAUAUUGAACCGCAUGGUUCAAUAGUGAAAGACGGUUUUGCUGUCACUUAUAGAUGGAUCCGCGCCGCAUUAGCUAGUUGGUAAGGUAACGGCUUACCAAGGCAACGAUGCGUAGCCGACCUGAGAGGGUGAUCGGCCACACUGGAACUGAGACACGGUCCAGACUCCUACGGGAGGCAGCAGUAGGGAAUCUUCCGCAAUGGGCGAAAGCCUGACGGAGCAACGCCGCGUGAGUGAUGAAGGUCUUCGGAUCGUAAAACUCUGUUAUUAGGGAAGAACAAAUGUGUAAGUAACUAUGCACGUCUUGACGGUACCUAAUCAGAAAGCCACGGCUAACUACGUG